AACGAACGCUGGCGGCAUGCCUAACACAUGCAAGUCGAACGAGACCUUCGGGUCUAGUGGCGCACGGGUGCGUAACGCGUGGGAACCUGCCCUUAGGUUCGGAAUAACUCCCCGAAAGGGGUGCUAAUACCGGAUAAUGUCUUCGGACCAAAGAUUUAUCGCCUUUGGAUGGGCCCGCGUUGGUUUAGCUAGUUGGUAGGGGAAAAGCCUACCAAGGCGACGAUCCAUAGCUGGUCUGAGAGGAUGAUCAGCCACACUGGGACUGAGACACGGCCCAGACUCCUACGGGAGGCGGCAGUGGGGAAUAUUGGACAAUGGGCGAAAGCCUGAUCCAGCAAUGCCGCGUGAGUGAUGAAGGCCUUAGGGUUGUAAAGCUCUUUUACCCGGGAUGAUAAUGACAGUACCGGGAGAAUAAGCUCCGGCUAACUCCGUG
rnacentral:rRNA from 1 species